rnacentral:sRNA from 1 species
CCGCGGUAUCCCGGGGGGAGGAUGAGAACCGAUAAGAGGUUCGAGGCGAGCGAAAGCGAGCCAACGUCGCGCAAGCGACGGCCCGGAGGGCGGAAGGCCGAAGGUCUGUGUCCUCCCCAGAUUGCAG